UACGUAGGGGGCUAGCGUUGUCCGGAUUUAUUGGCGUAAAGAGCGUGUAGGCGGCCAGAUAGGUCUGCUGUGAAAACUCGAGGCUCAACCUCGAGAUGUCGGCGGAAACCAUUUGGCUAGAGUCCGGAAGAGGAAAGUGGAAUUCCUGGUGUAGCGGUGAAAUGCGCAGAUAUCAGGAAGAACACCCGUGGCGAAGGCGGCUUUCUGGGACGGUACUGACGCUGAGACGCGAAAGCGUGGGAGCGAACAGG
rnacentral:rRNA from 1 species